rnacentral:rRNA from 1 species
UACGGAGGGGGCGAGCGUUGUCCGAAGUUACUGGGCGUAAAGCGCGCGUAGGCGGGUUGGUAAGUCCGCUGUGAAAGCCCGGAGCUUAACUCCGGAGGGUCGGUGGAUACUGCCAGUCUUGAAGGUGCUAGGGGGAGAUGGAAUUACCGGUGUAGCGGUGAAAUGCGCAGAUAUCAGGAAGAACACCCGUGGCGAAGGCGGCUCUCUGGGACGGUAUUGACGCUGAGACGCGAAAGCGUGGGGAGCAAACAGG